rnacentral:rRNA from 1 species
UAACAGAGGUCUCAAGCGUUGUUCGGAUUCAUUGGGCGUAAAGGGUGCGUAGGUGGUGCUGUAAGUCAGGUGUGAAAUCCCGGGGCUCAACCCGGAACUGCACUUGAAUACUGCAGUGCUCGAGGACUGGAGAGGAGAUCGGAAUUCAUGGUGUAGCAGUGAAAUGCGUAGAGAUCAUGAGGAAGACCAGUGGCGAAGGCGGGUCUCUGGACGGUACUGACGCUGAGACGCGAAAGCGUGGGGAGCAAACAGG